UACGGGGGGGGCAAGCGUUGUUCGGAAUUACUGGGCGUAAAGGCUCGUAGGCGGCCAACUAAGUCAGACGUGAAAAUCCCCUCGGCUUAACCGGGGAACUGCGUCUGAUACUGGAUGGCUUGAGUUCGGGAGAGGGAUGUGGAAUUCCAGGUGUAGCGGUGAAAUGCGUAGAUAUCUGGAGGAACACCGGUGGCGAAGGCGGCAUCCUGGACCGACACUGACGCUGAUGAGCGAAAGCCAGGGGAGCAACGGG
rnacentral:rRNA from 1 species